ensembl:snoRNA SNORA70 Small nucleolar RNA SNORA70
CUGCAGCCAAUUAAGCUGACUGAGUUCCUUUCCUCAUGGGGGCCCAGUGUGCAAUGGCUGUAAACAGCAGCUUCCCUGGUAGUGAUGCAGCCUGUUUGUUGUAUGGGUUGCUCUAAGGGACCUUGGAGACAGUC